rnacentral:rRNA from 1 species
GUGACAGCCCCGUACACAAAAAUGCACAUGCUGUGAGCUCGAUGAGUAGGGCGGGACACGUGGUAUCCUGUCUGAAUAUGGGGGGACCAUCCUCCAAGGCUAAAUACUCCUGACUGACCGAUAGUGAACCAGUACCGUGAGGGAAAGGCGAAAAGAACCCCGGCGAGGGGAGUGAAAAAGAACCUGAAACCGUGUACGUACAAGCAGUGGGAGCCUCUUUAUGGGGUGACUGCGUACCUUUUGUAUAAUGGGUCAGCGACUUAUAUUCUGUAGCAAGGUUAACCGAAUAGGGGAGCCGAAGGGAAACCGAGUCUUAACUGGGCGUUAAGUUGCAGGGUAUAGACCCGAAACCCGGUGAUCUAGCCAUGGGCAGGUUGAAGGUUGGGUAACACUAACUGGAGGACCGAACCGACUAAUGUUGAAAAAUUAGCGGAUGACUUGUGGCUGGGGGUGAAAGGCCAAUCAAACCGGGAGAUAGCUGGUUCUCCCCGAAAGCUAUUUAGGUAGCGCCUCGUGAAUUCAUCUCCGGGGGUAGAGCACUGUUUCGGCAAGGGGGUCAUCCCGACUUACCAACCCGAUGCAAACUGCGAAUACCGGAGAAUGUUAUCACGGGAGACACACGGCGGGUGCUAACGUCCGUCGUGAAGAGGGAAACAACCCAGACCGCCAGCUAAGGUCCCAAAGUCAUGGUUAAGUGGGAAACGAUGUGGGAAGGCCCAGACAGCCAGGAUGUUGGCUUAGAAGCAGCCAUCAUUUAAAGAAAGCGUAAUAGCUCACUGGUCGAGUCGGCCUGCGCGGAAGAUGUAACGGGGCUAAACCAUGCACCGAAGCUGCGGCAGCGACACUAUGUGUUGUUGGGUAGGGGAGCGUUCUGUAAGCCUGUGAAGGUGUACUGUGAGGUAUGCUGGAGGUAUCAGAAGUGCGAAUGCUGACAUAAGUAACGAUAAAGCGGGUGAAAAGCCCGCUCGCCGGAAGACCAAGGGUUCCUGUCCAACGUUAAUCGGGGCAGGGUGAGUCGACCCCUAAGGCGAGGCCGAAAGGCGUAGUCGAUGGGAAACAGGUUAAUAUUCCUGUACUUGGUGUUACUGCGAAGGGGGGACGGAGAAGGCUAUGUUGGCCGGGCGACGGUUGUC